UUGGUCUGAGAACAUGAUCCAGGUUCGUGAGUUUGAAAGAAGAUGCAUAUGGGAAGCUAUGCACUAGUAUAAAUAUGUUGGUAGUGAGAACCGGUUUAUAGAUAACUUGCUGUUUUUAAGUGUUGUAGCAUAUACGGGGGGGAAAAAGCUUGAUAAUGCAAGUGAGAAAGAACAGGAAAUAUUGAAGGGACGAAACUAGUCAUUGGAAGAGGGGGGUCAAUUGCCAAGAGGAGGAAAAAAAAAGGUCUGCGUUUUCACGGUUUGAACCCUAAUUUCUCCAUUUUUCCAAAGUAUUCCAACCACUUUGUCCCCCUUCAUUUACGUGUUGUAUGGUUUGACCCUCUUCUAUUUGGAUUCUGGCUUCGUCCUUGGUUUGCCCCUCUUCUAUUUAGAUUCUGGCUUCGUCCUUGUCUAUCUUGUACCAGUAUAUAUCUCUUGGAGACAAAAAAAAAAUUGUUGGGGAGAGAUUUUCAAGCGAUAAAUCCUUUCACAUAUCUUUUUGAUGAAAAAGCCGGUCAUUUUUUUUCGACAAAACUAUCAUUUGUUAUAUGAGAUCAUGUAGUAGCAUUCACUUCAUGUUGGAAGGGUGGAAUUUCCAUCAAACCUUUCAGGAGGGAUGAAAUUUCUUGGCAAGCAAAAAGAAAAAUAUCAAACUGGAAAGUUUUAUGUCUUAUGAAAUUUGGGACCAAAAUUAUGUUUAAAAUUGAGGAUGAAAUAUGUGUUAAUUUUGCCAUGUGUUAUAUAUUUUGAAUGAUUAUCUUGAUGCA